rnacentral:rRNA from 1 species
UACGGAGGGUGCAAGCGUUGUUCGGAAUCAUUGGGCGUAAAGAGCGCGUAGGCGGUCCGGUAAGUCAGCUGUGAAAGUCAAGGGCUCAACCCUUGAAAGCCGGUUGAUACUGUCGGGCUAGAGUCCGGAAGAGGCGAGUGGAAUUCCCGGUGUAGCGGUGAAAUGCGCAGAUAUCGGGAGGAAUACCGAUGGCGAAGGCAGGUCUCUGGGCUGACACUGACGCUCAUGCACGAAAGCGUGGGGAGCAAACAGG